rnacentral:rRNA from 1 species
GGGGAUAACGUUUGGAAACGAACGCUAAUACCGCAUGAUAUUAUUGAGCUGCAUGGCUUGAUAAUCAAAGGAGCAAUCCGCUGAAAGAUGGGCUCGCGUCCGAUUAGGUAGUCGGCGGGGCAACGGCCCACCAAGCCGACGAUCGGUAGCCGGACUGAGAGGUUGAACGGCCACAUUGGGACUGAGACACGGCCCAGACUCCUACGGGAGGCAGCAGUGAGGGAUAUUGGUCAAUGGGGGAAACCCUGAACCAGCAACGCCGCGUGAGGGAAGACGGUUUUCGGAUUGUAAACCUCUGUCCUCUGUGAAGAUGAUGACGGUAGCAGAGGAGGAAGCUCCGGCUAACUACGUGCCAGCAGCCGCGGUAAUACGUAGGGAGCAAGCGUUGUCCGGAUUUACUGGGUGUAAAGGGUGCGUAGGCGGCUUUGCAAGUCAGAAGUGAAAUCCAUGGGCUUAACCCAUGAACUGCUUUUGAAACUGCAGAGCUUGAGUGGAGUAGAGGUAGGCGGAAUUCCCGGUGUAGCGGUGAAAUGCGUAGAGAUCGGGAGGAACACCAGUGGCGAAGGCGGCCUGCUGGGCUCUAACUGACGCUGAGGCACGAAAGCGUGGGUAGCAAACAGGAUUAGAUACCCUGGUAGUCCACGCUGUAAACGAUGAUUACUAGGUGUGGGUGGACUGACCCCAUCCGUGCCGGAG